rnacentral:rRNA from 1 species
GAUGAACGCUGGCGGCGUGCCUAACACAUGCAAGUCGAGCGAUUCUCCUCGGAGAAGAGCGGCGGACGGGUGAGUAACGCGUGGGUAACCUGCCCUGUACACACGGAUAACAUACCGAAAGGUAUGCUAAUACGAGAUAAUAUGCUUUUAUCGCAUGGUAGAAGUAUCAAAGCUCCGGCGGUACAGGAUGGACCCGCGUCUGAUUAGCUAGUUGGUAAGGUAACGGCUUACCAAGGCGACGAUCAGUAGCCGACCUGAGAGGGUGAUCGGCCACAUUGGAACUGAGACACGGUCCAAACUCCUACGGGAGGCAGCAGUGGGGAAUAUUGCACAAUGGGCGAAAGCCUGAUGCAGCAACGCCGCGUGAGCGAUGAAGGCCUCGGUCGUAAGACUCUGUCCUCAAGGAAGAUAAUGACGGUACUUGAGGAGGAAGACCCCGGCUAACUAACGUGCCAGCAGCCGCGGUAAACGACGAAGAGUA